CACGUAUGGGGCGAGCGUUGUUCGGAAUUAUUGGGCGUAAAGGGUAUGCAGGCGGUUUGACAAGUCUGAUGUGUAAGACUUUGGCUUAACCAAGGGAACGCGUUGGAAACUGUCGAGCUAGAGUACAGGAAGGGGAGUUGGAAUUCCAGGUGUAGGGGUGAAAUCUGUAGAUAUCUGGAAGAACAUCAGUGGCGAAGGCGAACUCCUGGCCAUGUACUGACGCUGAGAUACGAAAGCGUGGGGAG
rnacentral:rRNA from 1 species